rnacentral:misc_RNA from 1 species
CUGAGUUAUAAACUCCAAACCUUUGUGAACCCUAUACCAACGUUGCUUCGGCGUGCCGUCCCGGGCGCGGCUCCGGCCGUGACCCGGGCCCAGGCGGCCGCCGGGGACCCGAAACUCUGUUCUUACAGUGGACCUCUGAGUGGCAUAAGAAAACAAUCA